rnacentral:lncRNA from 1 species
GCAUCGAGGGGAUUGGCCGCAACAGAUUGACGUGCCAGGAAGGGGGUACUUAACACACGAUCGACAGCACCAGGGAUUAUAGCCCCCACAAAAUUCGAGAUGACAAAGAUAAGAGCUCAGCGAUCGAGGGUCACUGGAUCGACGAGGUGCUCUUCCCAUCGGGAAGAGGCCUCUCCUCUACCCUCCAUGGUGGAACCUAGCUCUCCGCAUCCCGCGGUGACCACGGAGGCACAGAUCACGACAAUCGUACGGCAAAUGACC